rnacentral:rRNA from 1 species
UGAACGCUGGCGGCGUGCCUAAUACAUGCACGUCGCGCGAACAGACGAGGAGCUUGCUCCUCUGACGUUAGCGGCGGACGGGUGAGUAACACGUGGAUAACCUACCUAUAAGACUGGGAUAACUUCGGGAAACCGGAGCUAAUACCGGAUAAUAUAUUGAACCGCAUGGUUCACUAGUGAAAGACGGUUUUGCCGUCACUUAUAGAUGGAUCCGCGCCGCAUUAGCUAGUUGGUAAGGUAACGGCUUACCAAGGCAACGAUGCGUAGCCGACCUGAGAGGGUGAUCGGCCACACUGGAACUGAGACACGGUCCAGACUCCUACGGGAGGCAGCAGUAGGGAAUCUUCCGCAAUGGGCGAAAGCCUGACGGAGCAACGCCGCGUGAGUGAUGAAGGUCUUCGGAUCGUAAAACUCUGUUAUUAGGGAAGAACAAAUGUGUAAGUAACUAUGCACGUCUUGACGGUACCUAAUCAGAAAGCCACGGCUAACUACGUG